AAAGCCACCUGCCCUGGAGAUUACUGAGAAGUUAUGACCUACCCAGUUAAUUCUUGGAGUAAGAACAGACUCCGCCCAGGGGAAGAAAACGGCGGAAGUAGUGAAGUCAGAGAAAUCUGUGCAAAAGAUCCUGAUUCCUCUGGGGUACGCACUUGCAUGGUUCAGGGGACGAAUGUUUCUAAGUGACACAGGAAGCCAUUUGAUGCUGUCCUCAAGCCCCAGGGAUGUUACGGAGCAGUGUUCGGCAGCUUCUUUGGUGACCGGCUACACCGUUUGGCAGUGAGUUCAAGGGCUCAUAACUGCACAGAGCAAGGAGCCUGCUGAACAGUGAGGUUCCAGUUUAGAAAGAGUGCUGCAAACAAAGAGCUUCUGAAUGUUUCUCAAUCGGAGCCUCAGGUCGUUGUGACUGUGGAACAGCCUUGUGAACUGAUGGCUGCACCAUGAAGAGUAGCUGUGAGGGGAAGGAGGAAGUCCACCCAGCUACAUGGCCCCUGGAUACAUUGCCAGAUUUAGCAAAAACAACAACAAUAACAAAAAGCAAACCACAACCAGGAUGCCCAUUCAAACUUGAAUAUCAGGGUAUAUGACAAAGGUGGAUGUCAAGGGAGAGUCAUGAGCCUAAGUUUGGCAAAACUGAGGAGCAAGAAGAAACAGUUACAAUGAAUUGGGGUUGGUUGAACAUGCAGAUGGAUGUAGAUAUGGAAGGAUGACUGUGCUAUUGAAACAUGUGAGAGAAGGGAGAAGAGAAACGUCUGAAGACGAGAUUGCAGUGGUUGGCAGGGUCUGCUUCAAGUGUCUUGUAAGCUGUACUAAAGAAUUUGCAUUUUCUCCUUCAUGUAAUGGUAAUCCAUUAUAAUUUUUAAGUAACACAGAAGUAUGAUCUGUCGUGGUAUUUGUAAAAAUAACCCUGGUCUAUAUGAAGAGAAAGAAUUGAAGUGGGCAAGAAAGGUGGCAGUGAGAGCAUUACAAUGGUCCAGUUUAGAGAUGAGGAUAACUUAGGCUAAUGUUAUCCUUUCCUGUCUUUAUUUUCUGGUGCCAGUUAUCUAACUGGUUCCUGUUGAGGGUAUGUAGCUGCAAGAGAGGCAGUGGUCUGCAGAAAUCCCUCAGAAAUCCCUAAGUCACCACUCCUUGGGUGCAGUAUGAGGACAUCUGAAGCCCAAUGACAGAUGUAGAAUUCUAUAGUAUUUAUCUUAGAAAUACUUUCCCAGGUAUUAAGAUACAUUAAUGAAAUCCCAUGGUCAGAGGAGCCUGGCAAGUUACAGUCCAAGGGGUCACAAAAAAUCAGACAUGACUCAGCGACUAAACAACAGCAAUGGGAUCUGAGGGUGAGGAUGGUUUUUGAAUUGACACUCAUGACAUGACAUGACAUGCUUCCUACUUGUGCUGGGUGAUUUUCUGGAAUACUGAUUUUGUGAGUAGAGAAGAACCAAUGAGAAGCCCAUGUUUUUCCAUUUGCCAAGUGAGGCUCUCUUUCAUUUUUAAGGAUCACAGACUCUUCAGAGUUCAGAGACAAAAGAGAGGAUGAAUGAAUCAGUAGGGGUGGCACUAGAGAUGAAAGAUGAUAUGCGACAUUAAAAGUGUUCUAACGACUGUUUAAAAACUUGUCAACUGAAGCUGUCAAAGGGGUUUACCAGUUCUCCACUACUGGUCAUGACUGUUUCAGCUGAGGAGAGGCAGUUUGCAAUGCUAAAUAUCCUAGGAGUAACAAAGUUGAGUUCCCCAAAGGUCUUGGCCUGUUUUCCAAAUUUUAAUAAAUAUGUAAUCCAAUCUGCCUAUUCUAGGACAGAACUAACAUUUUAUUUGGAUGCAAUACAGCGUACAAUUGCAAUGGUUUAAAAAUUUUCUGUGAGACAGGAGUUACUGAAUCCUGCUGUUGUCCAGAAAAUGGAAAAUGGAUGCUACUGCAACAUCUUAACAUCUAGAUGCAAUCAAUCCAAGAGCAACAAAUAAAAACAGGGAGCUGAUUAACCAGCUCAUGCACAAAUAUAAAAAUAUGUGUGAGCAAAAUUCCCAAAGGCAGUAACUUUGUGUAUGGCAGCAUGGAAAAGACCUACCAGUAUGCAGGUGCACAGGCCUGGGCCCAAACAUGACCUGAAAGGAAGAUUGUAUAUUUCCUUUGAUGAGAGAGGAAUUGCUAGAGGUUUAGGUAGGAAGCUUUAGGGAGUUCUGACUACGCCUCACAACUGUCCAGUUGCUACCUGUAAGUCUGCCCCAUUGGCAGAAAAUUUAGAAAGUGGAUUGAAGAAGCCCUCAACAGCAAUGCCAGGAUAAAUGGGAUUAUAGUUGAGAUCUUGUGACAGACCACAUUUCCUUUGGGAAUUAUAUGUUUGGGAAUGUGGUCAAUUUUUGCCCCACUUCUUCAGCUUGGCAUGUUGGCCCUUGGUGUAUUUGUGACUUAAAUAGAAUUUGCCUGUAGAACACUGUGCCUCUGCCCAUGGAUCUCAUACUGUGUGUACAGAGCCACCCCAGGUAUACAGCUAUGUCUCCUCCAGUGUGAAAACUUACUUAGCUACAAAGUAAUAGACAAGAACUGCCAUGAUGGUGCCUGUAAUAGGCAGGUGGAACUAGUGUGUCUUGUGAGCAUAGAACAUAAUGACGAAGAAGUCUAUAGUCUACCCAUCUGGGUUGAAACACCCACUGCAAUGUUGUUACCUCUGUGACCUCCAUUGUUAUUUGAUUCCAUAUGUCUUGGUUUCCUUAUUUAUAACAUGAAGAUGAUAAUGGUAAUUUUCAUGUAGGCAACACAUGCUGUGCAAAGUUCUUAGAAACAGACUGAGUACAUAGAAAGCUCUCAAUAAUGACCACUUCUGUAUGAUGUAGCAUGUGGUAUAACAUGACUGGAAUGAGGUCAGAGGCCCAAAAAGCAUCAUGUCAGCAUGAAAAAAAUUACUGGAGCAUGUGGUGACUUUACGUUAUACCAAUUUCAGAAAGCACAUGGAUAAUUUUACUUAAACAGCUAUAUGGGGCUGAGGGAUGACUAGUGCGUGGUGUUGACAUUGUGAAACAGUGUUAUUCUAAAUGACUGCUACUUUAGUGCUGUAUGAAGACUUUUUGUUCUAUUCAGGUGUCCCAUUAAAAGUGACGAGUUUUU